rnacentral:lncRNA from 10 species
GAAGGAAGAUCAGGGAGGUAGGAGGGUGGUGAGCCGGGGGUUGGGUGUACUGUUGUUAAGUGAGGAGGGAGGCCAUGGUGUGGAGUAUGGACUUUAUUCCAUGUGCAUCAGAAAGCCACUGAAGGUUUUAAGCAGGAGUGACAAGCUGUGGCUUGGGUUGUAAGAUCUUUCUGGGUACUGUGUGGAGAAUACAAGGGAGCUGGUGGAGAGUGAGAAGCUGGGAGACCAGUUUAGGAAGCCAUCGCAGUGGUGAGAUCAAAAUGACCUUCGGCUUCUGGCUGCAAAGAGCAUCUGCAGACGAAAGACGCGAUGAUGUGGCGCCUUCUGAGAACUGACCAGCAGAGGGCGCUCUUGAGAAAGAAGAACGAUGUGCAAGAUUGUUCCGGUCAGGGAUGGCAAAUUCCACACAGGAGGCACCACUUAGCUGUAAUUAUUGUAAAGAAUGGUAAAGGCAAGUGGAUUUCCACAGAACAUGAACCAGAACAGCCAUGGAGUGAUAGCGGUGCCAAUUGCGGGAAACCUAGCGGAGAACCUUCCCAAAGUGGUAUUCAGGCUAGGAUUUCAAGCCUCUAGUGGGGUUUGGCCUUUUUACCAAGUCUCCUGAAAUAACAGAAUUUCCCCCAGUAAUUCUGAGCCCUGUGGCCUUUAGGACAUGCCAUCUUGAAGUCGUUCUGAGCUACUUACUCUGGUGUUUCUGAGAAAUUAUUCUGAAACAGAAGGUCACUCUAAGCCAGAAUUGGCAAACUUUUUCUGUAGAAGGCCAGAUAAUAGAUAUUUUCACUUUUGUAGGCCAUACAGUAUCUAUGACAAUCUUGCAAAUAGAAGAACUAUUUGGCUGAGUAGCUGGAACUGCAGACGUGCCAUUUCACUUGGCUCUGAGUUAUCUCAUUCUGAUUCUGUGGGAACUCAGUGCCUUUCCUUGUCUUUGAGCUAUUUUGUAACUGUAAAUUGUAGAUAACUGAUAGCAAUGGAACAGAAUUCUUGUUUUAGACAUGCAACUGAAUCCUGUCUAGUGGAAGCUCAACUGACUUGUCUGCCCUUCAGUAAAGAAGCCAGUUUUGCAUCCAUUUGGAAAUUCAUUUCAGUAUUCCUGAUCUUUAAAUGUCUCUUUUUAAAUUUUUGCUUUGACCAAUUGUAACAUCACCCUGGUUUCCAAAUCUGUUUUAGAAAGCUGUCUUGCGGCAUGAACCUUGUAGCUUAAAAGCAGGCACAGAAAACAUGAAACUAAUGGGUGUGACUGUAUUCUAAUGAAAAUUUAUAGACACUGAAAUUUGAAUUUCCUAUAAUUUUCAUGUCACAAAAUAUUUUUAAACAAUUUUCCAUGAUUAAAACAGUAAAACCAUUAUUAGCUAAUAGGCCAUCUAAAAACCAGCCAAAUUUGGCCCAUAGGCUGUGGUUUGCCAGUUCCUGCUCUGAGCCAACCCUCGGCACAACUUCUCAACUCCAUCUGUAAUGCCCAUGUCUCUCUGAGAGAAUACCUUUAUAAAUUCUUCUUCCUAGACCGUCUAGAAAUAGUUAUCCACCAAGAAAGAUGAAGGAACCAAAACAUCUCUUUCAGGUCCUACCAUGUCUAUUACUAAGCAAAGUGCUGUUAAAAAUUCUGACUGAGUUAAGGGGUUUAAUAAAAACACAUGAUUCUCAAG